UGGUGUCAGAGCCAAUCUACUGCCUGCUAGGGCACCAUCGUCUGGGCCAGAGAUGAGGGUUCGAUACCUGAAGCUGGGUCUGGUAGCUGUCUGUCUGCUUACAUGUGGCUGGUGGCCUCCCUUCUGGACCAGGAGUCCAGCCAGAAUGACUCUCAGGAGAAGCCCAGGAUCCGCUAAAGGACCUGCCACUGCCCCAGGGACUCUAAGAAAGUGUAUCUGUUCAUCUGGGGCCCACGGAGUGCUCUACCUGCCUCCACAUUCCGGGAGAGUCUGUUUGGUUUGACGAACGCUUUGAAAUGCACAUUGAGCCCCUGAUGAGGUCAGAAGCGCCCAUGUCCUCUGAUGCUUUGCUAUUGUGGUUGGUCAGUGCACAAUCUCGGUCUCUGUCCAGUCCCCAUGCCCAACCCCAGGCCCCGGCCAUCUCUCCUUUCAAGGCCUCAGGCUCUAACCUUCUUCUACAGAUGGUUGGGAGACUAGGGUAAACCCCUAAAUUUCUUCCUGUGGUCCUAUGAACUUUAGGAUAUCAAGUCAGAGAAGGAGUUUGGGAAUCAAAACCAGCAGUCAAUUAAAGAAACUUUCACACACCCACUGGACUGUGUGGGGUGCCAGACCUGUGCAGUGGUUGGAAACUCAAAAGUUCCUAUGGGGCUCUGGCCUCGGCUUCAAGAUUGACCAACAUGAUACGGUCCUCAGGUGGGUGCAGGGUAAAAGGUGGAGACUAGGAAAGUCAGGCCAAAUCCUCCUCUUCCCUCAGAUGUCCAUCCUGCCCUCCUUUCCAGGCCCCUGUCCAAGGCUUUGAGACAGACGUGGGGAACAUGACCACUGUGCACAUUACAUACCCCGAGAUAGACAGCCCUCAGGAUCCUGGCGCCCAGCUGCUGCUGCUUCCUCUGAAUUCAUCUGGUCUGAAGUGGGUUAUGGAGGUACUGCAGAAAGAGGGCAUCACGAGGAAGCCAAAAAAUCCUGGGCAUGGUGGGGUGCGGCAUUGUAAGGGGUGACAGUGGGAACUCCAGAGAGACCCUUGCUAGAUAUCAGGGCACCACUCUAAGCUUGGGGGCUGCUGUGUCAAAUGACUCUGAAACUCCCCCACCUCCAAUCAUUUUUUAGUCCAGGUCCCUGGUGGAAGUAAAGAGAGCAAAGACAAGGUCUCAGUGAUCAGCCUCAGCUUCCUCCAGUAUGUCCAGCAGAGAUGGCUGGGAAAAAACGAUCACUUUCCAUCCUUGGGGUUCAUAGCUCUGUUGUACGCCUUGCACGCCUGUGACCAGGUAUCCUUAUUUGGUUUGUGGACAGACCGGCUCAGCAGGUGGUCCCAUUACUGGGAUGAAGAAUAUUGGUUCAAGAGCAACAUGCACAGUUUUAAAGAAGAGCAACAGGUCAUUCCUAAGCUGCAGUUUGAGGGGAAGGUUGUUAUUUACAACUGAGAUGGUCCUCAGCCUAUUCAGCCCACUGGAGGCCCCAGGAGGCUGACAGGUAGUCAGGGGGACCUUGGAGUGUCAGAGAGGGACUGGGGUUUCAAACACACCCUGGAUGAAGGUCACUCUGCUACUGAAUAAAACCCUACAUUGUGGCAUUAAAUGGCUACAUCCUCUUCUAGAUUCUCAACAGAGAACAUUUCAUUGUUACUCAUAUAUAUAUUUACCUGACCAAAAAAUAAAAUUAAACGAAAAAGAGGAAAAAGCAAACACUAAAGUUGAAAACACAUCAAAUGGACCUAACUGUAUAUCAGAUUGAUAACAUAACCACCAGGGAAAGAAGUAGUUCAAGUUCCUUUAGAAUUCAAUAUACUGUGUAUUCUCUGUAGAAUAGAUUCUGUGGACAAAAAGAACCACAAAGAAAUUUUCAA